rnacentral:rRNA from 1 species
UACGAAGGGGGCUAGCGUUGCUCGGAAUCACUGGGCGUAAAGGGCGCGUAGGCGGCCAUUCAAGUCAGGGGUGAAAGCCUGUGGCUCAACCACAGAAUUGCCUUUGAUACUGUUUGGCUAGAGACCGGAAGAGGUAAGUGGAACUGCGAGUGUAGAGGUGAAAUUCGUAGAUAUUCGCAAGAACACCAGUGGCGAAGGCGGCUUACUGGUCCGGUUCUGACGCUGAAGCGCGAAAGCGUGGGGAGCAAACAGG